GGAGUCUGGACCGUGUCUCAGUUCCAGUGUGGCCGAUCACCCUCUCAGGUCGGCUACCUAUCGCAGGCUUGGUGGGCCGUUACCUCACCAACUACCUAAUAGGACGCGAGCUCACCUCAAACCGGAUUUCUCCUUUGACCCCUCCCUCAUGCGAGGCUGUGGUCUUAUGCGGUAUUAGUGCAACUUUCGCUGCGUUAUCCCCCUCGUUUGAGACAGAUUGCUCACGCGUUACUCACCCGUCCGCCGCUAGAACUUACCUGAUUCCUGCCGAAGCUCUCCUCUGAUAAGUCCCCGCUCGACUUGCAUGUGUUAGGCACGCCGCCAGCGUUCGUCCUCGUAGCCACGGAGUCAAACUACU
rnacentral:rRNA from 1 species